CCGCACGAGGGGGGCACGCGCACCCCCCCUCCCCGGCACCACCAUCACCAUCACCCAGCAGCCAAAAAGUGAAGACAUUUACCGGCCCGACUUGAGGAAGGAUAGUUCAGUCUCUGCUGUUGGAACCUCCACACCUGUCAGAAUUCAGACUCCAGUGGAACGGCACGCAAGCUCCGCGUCAUCGCUCAGCCUCAGCACGAC
rnacentral:lncRNA from 1 species